rnacentral:tRNA from 1 species
GCCGGGGUAGCUCAGUCGGUUAGAGCGUGGGAUUCAUAAACCCAAGGUCGGCGGUUCGAAUCCGCCCCCCGGUA